AUUGAACGCUGGCGGCAGGCUUAACACAUGCAAGUCGAGCGGGGAAGGGUAGCUUGCUACCUAACCUAGCGGCGGACGGGUGAGUAAUGCUUAGGAAUCUGCCAUUUAGUGGGGGACAACAUUCCGAAAGGAAUGCUAAUACCGCAUACGUCCUACGGGAGAAAGCAGGGGAUCUUCGGACCUUGCGCUAAAUGAUGAGCCUAAGUCGGAUUAGCUAGUUGGUGGGGUAAAGGCCUACCAAGGCGACGAUCUGUAGCGGGUCUGAGAGGAUGAUCCGCCACACUGGGACUGAGACACGGCCCAGACUCCUACGGGAGGCAGCAGUGGGGAAUAUUGGACAAUGGGCGGAAGCCUGAUCCAGCCAUGCCGCGUGUGUGAAGAAGGCCUUAUGGUUGUAAAGCACUUUAAGCGAGGGGGAGGCUACUUAGAUUAAUACUCUAGGAUAGUGGACGUUACUCGCAGAAUAAGCACCGGCUAACUCUGUGCCAGCCGCCGCGGUAA
rnacentral:rRNA from 1 species